rnacentral:lncRNA from 1 species
AGAAGAGAAAUCAUUUAGGCUCAAGUAUUUUUUACCUGUUGUUGAUCGAGCAAUUGCUUCACCAACUAGGAGGUUUGAGCAAUACCAGAGGUAUGGAAAGACUUUUGAUUUUUUUGUUCACUUCACGUAAAUUGUGCUCCUUAGAUGAUAAGAGUUUGUUAUCUUUUUGUGCUUGUCUCGAGGAAGCACUUAAGAGUGGUGAACAUUCUGAUAUUGAUGGCAAAGAAUUACUUGUGGAGUUAAUGUUCCUCCAAAAUUUCAUCCCUAAGGAAGACAUGGGCCUUCUUGAUAUUCUGAAGUUUGUGAAACGGAUGAGCUAUUUCUCAAAUGUCCUUAUUGCAUACAAAAUUUUGUUAACUAUUCCUGUAACUGUUGCAUCUGCGGAGCGGAGCUUUUCAAAAUUGGAGUUAUUAAAGUCCUAAAUGCGUAGUACAAUAAAUGCGUAGUACAAUGACACAAGAAAGACUCAAUGGGUUGGCAACAAUUGCACUUCAAAAUGAUGUUUUGGAGAAGAUUAAAUAUGAAGAUAUAAUUGAAGAUUUCAUUUCAAAGAACACCAAAUGAAUGAUGCUUUUUACUAGAGGUUAAGAAGAUAUUGGUAUGUAAUAUUCAUCCUUUAAUCCUAUACCUAAUUUCAUAUUGCAGUUCUUUGUAUGCAAAAAAGCAUGUAUUUGUUACUCAUAUACUGGAAUCAAAAUAUAUCUCGAUUAUUUGUAUUUCACUACUAUAGUAUAGGGCUCAUUUCUUAGUUUGCUUCAGGCCUCAAAAUCUCCGGUACGGCUUUAUGUAUCGAACUUUUAAUUUCUUUAAAAAAUGCAACUUGAUGAAGUAGAUUUCUACCCCUUCACCGUGAUUUCUCAUUGAUUAAUUUGACCAACUUUACUACUUGAUACAGUACUGAUUUUAAUAAGGCAGUAAAUUAUGUCACUGCAGCAAAUUAUGCCAUUGCGGGGGCUGUAAGCUAUGCCAUUGCGAGUCAUAAUGUGCUGUGUAAAGGGUCGAAAAUUAACUAGGUGAAAUUAGUUAACACUCAUCAUAAUUCAAUGUUUCUCCUUUUGGCAGGCCUAGAGGCGUGAAGACUGUUUUAGAGGCAGAUCACUAUCUAUUAGCACUGGUACUAUUUGGUUUGACGAUAUCAUCAGGCUACGUGAUGACAGAGCUUUGGCGCCUCAAGCACAUGCCAUUUAGCGGCCCCCGGCCCCGCGUUCCGGAUGUGGGCUAUGGCGAUUAUGAGGACGGUGGCGAAGGCGAUGACUAGAUCCUCUUUACUUACCUAGAUAGCAUAUCUAUUUGUGUAACACUAGUAUUUAUCUGGUUUUCUAUCACUCUGUAACUGUUAUGAACAUCUAAAGGCAUACGGAGC